AUUCUGCCCAUGCGGGGAAGGAUGAGAAGCUUCGACCAAGGUUCGACUCGAGCGCCAGCGAGAGAGCGUUGCCGCAGGCAACGACCCGAAGGGCGAAGCGCGCAGCGCUAGUAAUCCUUCCCCCACCACCA
rnacentral:sRNA from 1 species